rnacentral:rRNA from 1 species
UAGCUAGUUGGUGAGGUAAAGGCUUACCAAGGCGACGAUCUGUAGCGGGUCUGAGAGGAUGAUCCGCCACACAGGAACUGAGACACGGUCCAGACUCCUACGGGAGGCAGCAGUGGGGAAUUUUGGACAAUGGGGGCAACCCUGAUCCAGCCAUGCCGCGUGAGUGAAGAAGGCCUUCGGGUUGUAAAGCUCUUUCGGCCGGGAAGAAAUCGCAUGGGCCAAUACCCUGUGUGGAUGACGGUACCGGAAUAAGAAGCACCGGCUAACUACGUGCCAGCAGCCGCGGUAAUACGUAGGGUGCGAGCGUUAAUCGGAAUUACUGGGCGUAAAGCGUGCGCAGGCGGUUUUGUAAGACAGGCGUGAAAUCCCCGGGCUUAACCUGGGAACUGCGUUUGUGACUGCAAGGCUAGAGUACGGCAGAGGGGGGUGGAAUUCCACGUGUAGCAGUGAAAUGCGUAGAGAUGUGGAGGAACACCAAUGGCGAAGGCAGCCCCCUGGGUCGAUACUGACGCUCAUGCACGAAAGCGUGGGUAGCAAACAGGAUUAGAUACCCUGGUAGUCCACGCCCUAAACUAUGUCAACUAGGUGUUGGGUGGGUAAAACCAUUUAGUACCGUAGCUAACGCGUGAAGUUGACCGCCUAGGGAGUACGGCCGCAAGGUUAAAACUCAAAGGAAUUGACGGGGACCCGCACAAGCGGUGGAUGAUGUGGAUUAAUUCGAUGCAACGCGAAAAACCUUACCUACCCUUGACAUGCCAGGAACUUGCCAGAGAUGGCUUGGUGCCCGAAAGGGAGCCUGGACACAGGUGCUGCAUGGCUGUCGUCAGCUCGUGUCGUGAGAUGUUGGGUUAAGUCCCGCAACGAGCGCAACCCUUGUCGUUAAUUGCCAUCAUUUAGUUGGGCACUUUAACGAGACUGCCGGUGACAAACCGGAGGAAGGUGGGGAUGACGUCAAGUCCUCAUGGCCCUUAUGGGUAGGGCUUCACACGUCAUACAAUGGUCGGUACAAAGGGUUGCCAAGCCGCGAGGCGGAGCCAAUCCCAGAAAGCCGAUCGUAGUCCGGAUUGCAGGCUGCAACUCGCCUGCAUGAAGUCGGAAUCGCUAGUAAUCGUGGAUCAGCAUGUCACGGUGAAUACGUUCCCGGGUCUUGUACACACCGCCCGUCACACCAUGGGAGCGGGUUCCGCCAGAAGUAGGUAGCCUAACCGCAAGGGGGGCGCUUACCACGGCGGGGUUCGUGACUGGGGUGAAGUCGGAACAAGGUAGCCGUAGGGGAACCUGCGGCUG